rnacentral:lncRNA from 1 species
ACACCUCUUCCUCGAAUUGUUGCUUGUGCUUGGUCCAUCAGGGUCUUCAUAGAUCUUUGCGAUGCCUUGUACAAACACGCCCAUUUUUGCUUGCACAAUGUUUGAGAUAUCGGUGCAAACACUGUUGACGAGGUCGGCAUUCCUCUUCUUCUGUAUAAUGACAAUGCAAAAAGUUGCAGGGAUGAGGAUUGUGUAAAAAGUUGCUGCUGUGCUGUGUAAAAGUUGCUAUAUUUGAUUACUUACGUUUGCACUUGUGUUCCUUGGGAGUCUCGCGGCAACAAACUCUUCUGCCGCGGCUGCUCCUUGAAAUAAAACAUUCGUUUCUUCCCCCUGAGCUGGCUCCACAUAAAUAUCCUUCAGCUAGCAAAAAGAAGCAUCGGCGUUGCCGUGUUUUAGGCUGUAGUUGCAGGAAACAGAAAAAGCAAAAGGCAUGAUGUGGUUUGUAACUAUUUUGCAGUUCCAGCAACUUCCCCCAUAAAAGGCAAUAAUCAAAAUUAUGGUUAGGUUUGCAACUAUUUUUGCAGCUCCAGCAACUUCUAAUGCACAUGGUGUAGUUUAUCCAAAAAAAACACAAAAAAAAAGAGUUUGCCGGUUAGGUGCGCGAAAAGACGGCGAUGAGCACUCAGGGGCAAGUUGCGAAACUGGCCGUCCUCCUUCAUGUCCUUCUUGAUGACCCUGCUGAUAAGUUGUUUGGUCCAUGCUUGAGCCUGCACCUUGCUUCUGCUGAUCUGCUCGCCGUGGUCAAGGGAAUCCAGGUACAACAGCUCCCCCCCACACACCCCCCCCCCCCGCCCCCAAAAAGGGAAAGAAAGAAAAGACACAUUAUGCCACAUGCGCGCCGCCGGGGAUUCCCUGUUUUAGAGCUAGAACGUACAUAAAAAUUUGGCGAGCAGAAAAUAUCCAGAGAAGCAUACCACAAGGUGGAAGACGCAGCAGGACACUGAGUUCUUCUUGUCACCCAAGUCGACGAAGGCAUAGUGUAUAGAAUCCACCACAAAUUGGCAGAAAUCUAAGUUGUCCAAGAUCUUGAGAUCAACAACAGCAGGAAAGCUUUUCAGGCUGACCUUUGUGCUUGUGCUGGGUCAUAGAAAUCCACUUAUGGCAACAAUAAGCCAGGCUCUGAAGAAUUUAUCAUUGGCUUUUCCCCUCAUGUCCUUGAUCAUUUGAACCCAGGUGGGCAGCGGAGGAGAGCUUCCUGUCCCAAGACUAUACUGCUCUCUGAUGAAGUUGGACGCGUCCUGAUCUGACUCAUAGGGCACGGCACGCCCCCUGUUGGGUAGGUUCCAGAUUCUACUCACGCUCUUUGCAUCCACGACUAUGCUUCCCCUCCUUGGGAAGAGCAUCUCGCAUGUGCGAACACUAUAUGGCGACAUCAGAAACUUGCUGAAUCUGUCAUUCAUUGUGCCUGGGACAAACGUCAAACCUCCAAAUCCCUUCUUCUCGAUGAGCUUGAUUUGCGCAG